CCUACGGGAGGCUGCAGUGGGGAAUAUUGGACAAUGGGCGAAAGCCUGAUCCAGCAAUGCCGCGUGGGUGAAGAAGGCCUUCGGGUUGUAAAGCCCUUUUGCCCGGGACGAUAAUGACGGUACCGGGAGAAGAAGCCCCGGCUAACUCCGUGCCAGCAGCCGCGGUAAUACGGAGGGGGCUAGCGUUGUUCGGAAUCACUGGGCGUAAAGCGCACGUAGGCGGCGAUCCAAGUCGGGGGUGAAAGCCCGGGGCUCAACCUCGGAGGUGCCUUCGA
rnacentral:rRNA from 1 species